UACUACCUGUAGGAUAAUGCACUUCCUAU
rnacentral:piRNA from 1 species